UACAGAGGUCUCAAGCGUUGUUUGGAUUCAUUGGGCGUAAAGGGCGCGUAGGCGGCGCCACAAGUCACUUGUGAAAACUCUGGGCUCAACUCAGAGCCUGCAAGCGAAACUGUGGUGCUGGAAUAUGGGAGAGGUGCGUGGAAUUCCCGGUGUAGCGGUGAAAUGCCUAGAUAUCGGGAGGAACACCUGUGGCGAAAGCGGCGCACUGGACCAUAACUGACGCUGAGGCGCGAAAGCUAGGGGAGCAAACAGG
rnacentral:rRNA from 1 species